UAGGGAAUCUUCGGCAAUGGGGGCAACCCUGACCGAGCAACGCCGCGUGAGUGAAGAAGGUUUUCGGAUCGUCAAGCUCUGUUGUAAGAGAAGAACGUGUGUGAGAGUGGAAAGUUCACACACUGACGCUAACUUACCAGAAAGGGACGGCUAACUACGUGCCAGCACCCUCGUUAAUACGUCGCUCCCGAGCGUCGUUCGGAUUUAUUGGGCGUAAAGCGAGCGCGGGCGGUUUAAUUAGUCUGAAGGUAAAGGAAGGGGCUUAACCAAUGUUCGCUUUGGAAAGUGUUAAGCUGAAGUGAAGAAGGGGAGAGUGGAAUUCCAUGUGUGGCGGGGAAAUGCGUGGAUAUAUGGAGGAACAACGGUGGGGAGAGAGGCUCUCUGGUCUGUAAGUAACGCAGAGGCUCAAAAGCGUGGGGAGCAAGCAGG
rnacentral:rRNA from 1 species